AACGAACGCUGGCGGCAGGCUUAACACAUGCAAGUCGAACGCCCCGCCAGGGGAGUGGCAGACGGGUGCGUAACGCGUGGGAACAUACCCUUUUCUACGGAAUAGCUCUGGGAAACUGGAAUUAAUACCGUAUACGCCCUACGGGGGAAAGAUUUAUCGGGGAAGGAUUGGCCCGCGUUGGAUUAGCUAGUUGGUGGGGUAAAGGCCUACCAAGGCGACGAUCCAUAGCUGGUCUGAGAGGAUGAUCAGCCACAUUGGGACUGAGACACGGCCCAAACUCCGACGAAGGGCGGAAGGGGGGAAUAGUGGAAAAGGGGCGCAAGCGUGACCCAGCCGGGCCGGGUGAGUGAUGGAGGCUUUGGGGUUGUAAAGCUCUUUCACCGAUGAAGAAAAGGGCGGUGGGGGGAGAAGAGCCCCCGGCUAAUCUCG
rnacentral:rRNA from 1 species